rnacentral:rRNA from 1 species
UACGGAGGGAGCGAACGUUGUUCGGAUUUACUGGGCGUAAAGGGUGUGUAGGCGGUCUUGCAAGUCAGGGGUGAAAUCUCUCGGCUCAACCGAGAAACUGCCUUUGAGACUGCAGGACUUGAGGGCGUGAGAGGAGACUGGAAUUCCUAGUGUAGCGGUGAAAUGCAUGGAUAUUAGGAGGAACACCAGUGGCGAAGGCGAGUCUCUGGCACGCAUCUGACGCUGAAACACGAAAGCCAGGGGAGCGAACGGG